AUUGAACGCUGGCGGCAUGCUUUACACAUGCCAGUCGAACGGCAGCGCGGGCUUCGGCCUGGCGGCGAGUGGCGAACGGGUGAGUAAUGCAUCGGAACGUGCCCAGUAGUGGGGGAUAGCCCGGCGAAAGCCGGAUUAAUACCGCAUACGACCUGAGGGUGAAAGCGGGGGACCGAAAGGCCUCGCGCUAUUGGAGCGGCCGAUGUCGGAUUAGCUAGUUGGUGGGGUAAAGGCUUACCAAGGCGACGAUCCGUAGCUGGUCUGAGAGGACGACCAGCCACACUGGGACUGAGACACGGCCCAGACUCCUACGGGAGGCAGCAGCGGGGAAUUUUGGACAAUGGGGGCAACCCUGAUCCAGCCAUGCCGCGUGCGGGAAGAAGGCCUUCGGGUUGUAAACCGCUUUUGUUCGGGAAGAAAUCCUCUGGGCUAAUACCCCGGGGGGAUGACGGUACCGGAAGAAUAAGCACCGGCUAACUACGUG
rnacentral:rRNA from 1 species